CCUACGGGAGGCUGCAGUAGGGAAUAUUGCUCAAUGGGGGAAACCCUGAAGCAGCAAUGCCGCGUGGAGGAUGAAGGUUUUCGGAUUGUAAACUCCUUUUGUUAGAGAAGAUAAUGACGGUAUCUAACGAAUAAGCACCGGCUAACUCCGUGCCAGCAGCCGCGGUAAUACGGAGGGUGCAAGCGUUACUCGGAAUCACUGGGCGUAAAGAGCGCGUAGGCGGGAUAGCAAGUCAGAUGUGAAAUCCUAUGGCUUAACCAUAGAACUGCAUUUGAAACUGUUAUUCUAGAGUAUGGGAGAGGUAGGUGGAAUUCUUGGUGUAGGGGUAAAAUCCGUAGAGAUCAAGAGGAAUACUCAUGGCGAAGGCGGCCUGCUGGACAUUAACUGACGCUGAGGCGCGAAAGCGUGGGGAGCAAACAGGAUUAGAUACCCCGGUAGUC
rnacentral:rRNA from 1 species